UGGGGAAUUUUGCACAAUGGGCGAAAGCCUGAUGCAGCAACGCCGCGUGUGUGAUGAAGGUCUUCGGAUCGUAAAGCACUUUCGACCGGGACGAACAACCUCUGGCUAACAGUCAGGGGCCUGACGGUACCGGGAGAAGAAGCACCGGCUAACUCUGUGCCAGCAGCCGCGGUAAUACAGAGGGUGCAAGCGUUGUUCGGAAUUAUUGGGCGUAAAGCGCGUGUAGGCGGCAUAGCAAGUCGGGUGUGAAAGCCCUCAGCUCAACUGAGGAAGUGCGCCCGAAACUGCUGUGCUUGAGUGCCGGAGAGGAUGGCGGAAUUCCCCAAGUAGGGGUGAAAUUCGUAGAUAUGGGGAGGAACACCGGUGGCGAAGGCGGCCAUCUGGACGGUAACUGACGCUGAGACGCGAAAGCGUGGGGAGCAAACAGG
rnacentral:rRNA from 1 species